CUUGGAACUGUUCCCACUAAAGCAGGGGACAGCAUUACAAGAUCUACUACCAUUUGUACUAAUUAGCAACUUUGCUGACAGCCUCUGAUCAGCAUUCUGGAUUCUAGGGAGCAUUUCUGGAGCUGAGGGACAACUGUCUGGGAAUUUCCAGCGUGCAGGUGGUAAAACACUGACUGCCAUGAACUUCAUCAGGGAAAAAAAAAAAAAAAAGAGGAAAAAGCUGUGGUUUGGAAGCAGCUGGAUGGCAAACUGCAGGCUGGGAAUGUGGCUGCCAAAACCACCACAAGGAGAGUGGGGCAUAGAGGCAUUUGUGGAGCAUUCCGUUUGCUAAUUGCUCGUGGAAUUUCAGGUUGAAAGAGAAGAAGGGAAUCUACCAGGUGGCUGCAUCUCGAAAAAAAGGUACAGAGAAAGUGGCAGGAACAUGGAUCUUCCUCUGAUCCCUGCUCUGGCACAGCUAAAGCUUGCAUGUGAGUUUCAUUCUUUUAUUUUUAUAAAAUCUGAAUUUCUACACUAACUUUGGAUCAAAA